rnacentral:rRNA from 1 species
CAGUCGCCGCGGGAAAACGGAGGGUGCAAGCGUUAAUCGGAAUUACUGGGCGUAAAGCGUGCGUAGGCCGUUCGUUAAGUCUGUUGUGAAAGCCCCGGGCUCAACCUGGGAAUGGCAAUGGAUACUGGCGAGCUAGAGUGUGUCAGAGGAUGGUGGAAUUCCCGGUGUAGCGGUGAAAUGCGUAGAGAUCGGGAGGAACAUCAGUGGCGAAGGCGGCCAUCUGGGACAACACUGACGCUGAGGCACGAAAGCGUGGGGAGCAAACAGGAUUAGAUACCCGUGUAGUCCCUGUCUCUUAUAC